ensembl:snRNA U1 U1 spliceosomal RNA
AUACUUAACCUGGCAGGGGAGAUACUGUGAUCACAAAGGUGGUUUUCCCAGGGUCAGGCUUAUCCAUUGCACCCCAAACGUGCUGACCCUGUGGUUUCCCCGAAUGUGGGGAACUCGACUGCAUACUUUGUGGUAGUGGAGGACUGCGUUCAUGCUAAA